rnacentral:rRNA from 1 species
UAAUACGUAGGAGGCAAGCGUUGUCCGGAUUUAUUGGGCGUAAAGAGGGCGUAGGCGGUCUUUCAAGUCGGAUGUAAAAUCUCCCGGCUCAACUGUGAGGGACCAUUCGAUACUGUUAGGCUUGAGGGUAGCAGAGGGAGGUGGAAUUCCCGGUGUAGUGGUGAAAUGCGUAGAUAUCGGGAGGAACACCAGUGGCGAAGGCGGCCUCCUGGGCUACUACUGACGCUGAGGCCCGUAAGCGUGGGGAGCAAACAGGAUUAGAUACCCUGGUAGUCCACGCCGUAAACGAUGGACACUUGGUAUGGGGAGUAUCGACCCUCUCCGUGCCGAAGCUAACGCAUUAAGUGUCCCGCCUGGGGAUUACGGUCGCAAGACUA